rnacentral:rRNA from 1 species
AGUCUGCAACCCGCCUGCAUGAAGUUGGAAUCGCUAGUAAUCGCGGAUCAGCAUGCCGCGGUGAAUACGUUCCCGGGCCUUGUACACACCGCCCGUCACACCAUGAGAGUCGGGAACACCCGAAGUCCGUAGCCUAACCGCAAGGGGGGCGCGGCCGAAGGUGGGUUCGAUAAUUGGGGUGAAGUCGUAACAAGGUAAC